CAGAAACUGAAAUUCCUUAAAAGAAUAGCCUGACUUUUCAAAUCCUCAGGAAUGAAAUUCUACAAACUAAUUCCUCAUAUGUACUCUUGCUGCAGUAUGAUCAGAGUUAGAUUAGCAAUUCCAUCAAAUUUUGGCCAAAAGGAUCAGAAACUAUAAACCAAUUUGAUUAUGUAAAUACCUCUAUAUAAUUUACCAAUCCAAGCACACUAAAAAAUGCAAAUAAGUAAAAUUUUAUUGAGAAGGUGACAUCACAAACCAAUUCUAUUAUUGAAAAGGGGACUACAAUCAAUAAGACUAAACCUCAAAAAGCACACUUUUUAA
rnacentral:misc_RNA from 1 species